CCCAGCCCCAGAGUCCCAGAUGAUCCCAUUCUGUGAUCAGGACAGAACACAGACAUCUCACCAUGGAGUUUGUGCUUGGCUGGGUUUUCCUUGUUGCUGUUCUAAAAGGUGUCCAGUGUGAGGUGCAGCUGGUGGAGUCUGGGGGAGGCCUGGUGAAGCCUGGAGGCUCCCUGAGACUCUCCUGUGCAGCCUCCGGAUUCAACUUUGGAAAUCACUACAUGCACUGGGUCCGCCAGGCUCCAGAGAAGGGGCUGGAGUGGAUUGCAGCAAUUGGUAGUAGUGAAAACACAUAUUAUUCAGGUUCCGUGAAGGGCCGAUUCACCAUCUCCAGGGACAACGCCAAGAAUACAGUGGAUCUGCAGAUGAACAGCCUGAGGCCCGAGGACACGGCCACGUAUUUCUGUGCGAUAGACACAGUGCACAUGGAGGUUACAAGCAGGGUUCUUGUGAGGAUCUGGGGCUUCCUCUCCAUACAGCAUUUCCCCCAGGGACCUUCUCUGGACAGAUGA